rnacentral:rRNA from 1 species
GACGAACGCUGGCGGCGUGCUUAACACAUGCAAGUCGAACGGAAAGGCCCUGCUUUUGUGGGGUGCUAGAGUGGCGAACGGGUGAGUAACACGUGAGUAACCUGCCCUUGACUUUGGGAUAACUUCAGGAAACUGGGGCUAAUACCGGAUAGGAGCUCCUGCUGCAUGGUGGGGGUUGGACAGUUUCGGCGGUUGGGGAUGGACUCGCGGCUUAUCAGCUUGUUGGUGGGGUAGUGGCUUACCAGGGCUUUGACGGGUAGCCGGCCUGAGAGGUUAACCGGCCACAUUGGUACUGCGAGACGGCGCAGACUCCAACGGGAGGCAGCAGGGGGGAAUAUUGUCCAAUGGGCGGAAGCCUGAUGCAGAAAUGUCGCGCGCGGGAUGCCCGCCUUCGGGUUGUAAACCGCUGUCGCCUGUGACGAAGCGUGAGUGACGGUAAUGGGUAAAGAAGCACCGGCUAACUACGUG